GAAGGAAAGUGCUAGAAUUCUAGUAUGUCUGUUUGAAAGAUGAACAUCUUGGCUAUUUAAUUAUAUUUUUCUGUUUUACAAAGGAGCUGUAUAGCUAAACAAGUGGUGUGUGCUCAGCACAAUGUUCUGUUGCAACGAUAGCUAUCAGAGCAAUCAUAAAGGGACAACUGAAUUUUGGAGUAUUUACCUUUGUAGAGAAACUAGACCUUAGCCAAGAGCAGCAGGGUUUCCCUGUCACUGUCAUUUACAUUAGUCCUUGCUUUGGAUACAUGGCCUCUCAAUACAGAGACUGAGUGCAUCUUGCAAGUGCUGUUCUAAGCUUUUUUAGCUUCAGUGAAAAAAGAAACAGAGUUUGUGUUUUUUAAUGACAGUUGAUAGUGAGAACAACGAAAGGGGAAAAGAAGCUAGAGGGAAAGGAAAAAGGCUGCUUUAGUGAGGCUGGAAAUAAAUCAGGACUGUCUGGUAAACAUGUACUUUUUAAAAAUCUUAGUUAGAUAUUGCAUUUUUAGUACCACCAGACAUAUGUUGACAGGGCAAAUGGCUGACAGAGAUCAACAACUCUAAAGUGUUUUUUGUUGUUGUUGUUGGUGGUUUUUUUUUUUUGUUGUUUUGUUGUUUUUUUUUUGUUGUUUUUUCUUUCUUUAAAUAAAGUAAAUAAGUAAUUUUGGCUCCGUCCUUCCUUUGGGUUGUGUGCUUAGAUCUGAGAAGGACAGAGAACACAGACACAUCCUCCCACAUCCUGGUCACAGCUUUUGGCUUUUACAAAAUAACAAGGAAUGGAGCUAAGUGUCACCUGAGGGACGCUUGAGAAGGCUGUUUGGAAUGAGGACAGGCCAGGAGAGUGAUGACCAGAAUUUUCAUAUCAGCGGUGAUCCGCAGACAAAGCACCAACCUGCAGGUUUUUUGACCAGUAACAAGUACAGUUUUGCUGGUAUAACCUGGGAUCACACUUCCAGCACGCAUGUUGACAUUGUUUCCUGGCAAUCCUACUGUGGUCAAACCCUCCUGUGAGAGAUUCUUCUACCCUCCCAUCUAGGAGGUUUGGGGUAGGGAAUUUUUUUUGUCAUGAUUUAUUCUGGAAUUUAACACUAGCUUCUCUGGGCACCCAGUAUCUCUGAUGCAAGGAGACACAUUUGCUAUCUUGCUGGUGAUUGCCUGCCAUAACAGACUGGGCAUGGUACUGCCCAAACUGAUGGUAGUUUUGUAGAGAUCUGUCCCACCCUUUAACUUCCAGUGUUUCGAAUGGAUGCUUUCUCUAUGCCAGUGACUUUAUGUGGCUGAGUUUCCUUUGAAUUUCUAGCUUCUUCUUCCUCAUUGUAAGUCUCUGGGGCUUGGCUGAGCUGUCUCCUCCAUGCUUUGGCAGCUCAGGCUUUUACUUCCUCUCAUGGCUCUCUUUAGUCAGGCGUAAGAUUGCUAGAUCUUGAUGCUGUGGCUGGUUGGCUCACUGGGGUUGGCUGCUGGGUUUUGGUUAGGCAUGGGGGCUUCCUGUAAACCUUGAAUGAAGGUGGCCUGGCUCCUGCUCUGCAGGGUAUUUAUGGAUACUGCUAAAGAUCCAGCCUUGCUUAGGUUAGUGUCUUUCUCUCCUUCUCCUUGUCAUGUGAUAAAUUCUUUUUCCUGGGACCCACACUGAGCUAUAAUUGGACUGAAAAAAUAUGACAUUACCCUAAAAUAAAUAAAAGAAAUAAAUAAAAGAAAAUAAAGGG
rnacentral:lncRNA from 1 species